AAUGAGCGGUAAGCGCGACGGCGCAUACUAAAAAACAAAUAUUAAAGAUUAACUAAGGAUUUACGGACUAUGUACAGUUCUCAAAAAAACUAUGAGUCAAAAAUGAAAUUGAAAUUAAAAAGGAUUGAAGAGAAAGGAAUGUCUGCUUGUGAAGGUAAUGAAUGAUAGUAUUAGUUACCAGGACAUUUCUUAAAGUUUUUCCAAAAUAUUUAAAAAGCAAUACAGCAAAGAAGUGACAUGAAGUUUAAACGAUAAGAGAACACCUG